rnacentral:misc_RNA from 1 species
AAGUCGUAACAAGGUUUCCGUAGGUGAACCUGCGGAAGGAUCAUUAAUGGAAUAAACCUGGUGGACUGUCGCUGGCUCUCUUGAGAGCAUGUGCACGUCUGCCAUCUUUAUCUUUCCACCUGUGCACCUUUUGUAGACCUGGAUAUGCUUAAUAUAUCAAUCUGAGGUCAACUCAGGCGUGAGGACUGUCGGCGUCGCAAGAUAUCGGCUUUCCUUGUAGCAUUCCAGGGACUAUGUUUUUCAUACACACUUUAAAAAUCUAAUAGAAUGUCGUUUUAAAAAGGUCUUUGUACCUAUAUAAAACAAAUAUACAACUUUCAGCAACGGAUCUCUUGGCUCUC